rnacentral:snoRNA from 1 species
GGAUCAAUGAUGACUCCCCUCAAAAGCAUUCCUUGGAAAUCUGAACAAAAUGAGUGAGAACUCACCACUGUCAAACUCAUCGGAAGCUGAGGUCC